AUUACGAUGAGGUCUUCCUCACCUUGUCCAGGGGUACCAAAGCUACGCACUGAAACACUGUCAAAUUGCGAUAAAUUCUAAUAAUUUUACCGAUGUUAUUACAGUCCUAUAUUUGGAAAUUAUUUAGAUCGGUCUCAACAAAAUGAACACAUAGAGCCUACAAAAAAGCAACUGCAACGAAAUAUAUUAAAUAAUUAAAACAAGUAGGGAAAGCUUUAGUUAUCUAUUUCAAGCUUUAUAUUUUUGUAUGAGUUUUGACUCCCAACAGCCAAUAAUAAUUUGCAUUCGCCAAUAGGCUGCCUGGUUGGCUAAGAUCGCACGGUUGGAGAUUUAUUAACUUAUGAAUGGCUGAUUUCGCGGAAGGGGAGCUCGAAGGGCGUAAGACUGCUAUAGGACGAUACUGAACAUUUUAUCCCUACAAUGACCAUUUCUGCGACUCACUGCAGUCUUGCGAGUGACUUCAUGGGAAGGACAGCGGCAAAUAAACCGGACAUUGCCACUUUAAAGGCAGCCCCGGGCCAUUCGAAAAAGCGCAGACCCAGAUGCCGCAUUCAAGCAAGAAGAAAAACUGGUUGAAAGAUUCUUAAGACUAAAAGCAAGCGUGGAGACAGGGCUGCAAGCUCCAGAGGGUUGACAUGACCUGACCCUCCCAGGGCCAAGGAGACCAGCGCAGGUUGCAGGCUCUUCCAUCUCUUCUGGGGCGAAAAGAUUGUUUCAGCACCUGAAGCUCCCCUGUGCACCACUGGCAGGUUGGUGAAGAGCUGCUUCACCUGAAUUAAACAGUUCAUCUUUAAAUCAAGACUCAAGGCUACAAACAGCUAUUUUUUUUUAAAUCCCUUAUGAAAAGACAACAAAAAGCAAACAUGUAAGAAUAAACAAAUCAAAAGAUAUAAUACACCCUAAAAUUAUCUUAAAUAUAAUUACAAUGAAAAAUAAUUAAAAAUCCCCCACGGAGGGUCAAAAAUCUUACAAUAUGAAAUCGAUGCCACUAUACAUGGG
ensembl:lncRNA